rnacentral:rRNA from 1 species
AACGAACGCUGGCGGCAGGCUUAACACGUGCAAGUCGAGCGCCCCGCAAGGGGAGCGGCAGACGGGUGAGUAACGCGUGGGAAUCUACCCAUCACUACGGAACAACUCCGGGAAACUGGAGCUAAUACCGUAUACGUCCUUCGGGAGAAAGAUUUAUCGGUGAUGGAUGAGCCCGCGUUGGAUUAGCUAGUUGGUGGGGUAAUGGCCCACCAAGGCGAGGAUCCAUAGCUGGUCUGAGAGGAUGAUCAGCCACACUGGGACUGAGACACGGCCCAGACUCCUACGGGAGGCAGCAGUGGGGAAUAUUGGACAAUGGGCGCAAGCCUGAUCCAGCCAUGCCGCGUGAGUGAUGAAGGCCCUAGGGUUGUAAAGCUCUUUCACCGGUGAAGAUAAUGACGGUAACCGGAGAAGAAGCCCCGGCUAACUUCGUGCCAGCCGCCGCAGUAA